CAGCAAUUAAUGCAAAUUGUCAUGACUUUUGCUAUUUGCUUAACAAACACACACACACACGCAUACACAUGCAUGAAGGCAUACUUAUGCGCUCGUAUGUAUGAGGAUCACGACCGAGGCCAGACCAGGCCAGGACAGGCAGCGGAGGCAGGCAGGCUACCAACCGGCAAUAAUAAUAAAAUGAUUAAUCGAUGCUACAUGACUGCAUACACAAAAUAAUUCCCAACGGUAUGUCAUGUCAUCAUCAUCAUCAUCAUCAACGGUAUCAUCAUCAUCAUGCGUAGCAGCGGCAACGGCAGCAUCAGGAGAGCCACAUUAUCAUUUUGCCGUGCAAAUGUUUAUUGUGGGAAUUCGUUUGCUGCCAACGUGUCGUCCUCACAAUUCCGUGUGUCAGAGCUUGGCCGCCGCCGUACGUACUCAACUCCAUCUCCAUCUCCAGCACCAGCGCCAACAACUCCAACCCCAUGGGCUGUGAAAUUAAAUUUAUGAAUUCUUUUGGCUGGUGCGUGACCAGAGAUUUACUAUAAUCAGCCAGCGGGAAUCAACGCAACACGCUCUGGAGACUAAUUAGUCAACAAACGCGAAUUCAUCAUCGAGUUGUCCUGCAAUACCUUCAAGCUUCUACGCUGGACAUCAAUUGGCUGCUGCUCGGACUUGAAUCUUACGGAAUUUUAAUUGCUAUGUACGUGGGACUAACUGCAAUUGUUUCACCCAGUUGAUGGCCAGUGAGCAGGACCCGGUUUGCUGCCUAGAGCGUUAGUCUGAAACAGUCGCAGUCGCUGCUGACGAAUCUACAAUCAGUUAAAGGAUCAGUGCCUGACUCUGCUGUUCUAUGGCUGAAACUAGAGGACUGCUUUGAUUGCAAUGCUAUGAGGGGCGUAUGCGACAAGCUGGUGGCGCAGUAGCAACUAUCUGGACACGCGAACUAAGAACACUGGAGCACUUAAAUAAGCCCAGCUUGGAAUCCAUGGCAAUGUAUCAAUCAAGUUACGCCCAGCGACGCAAUACAUCGUUCUCUGUUUGCGGCCCUUAACAAUGAUGUGGCACUGUGUUAGCUUAUGGCAUCCUCAGAUGUCAGCUGGAUCAUUUGGAAUGCAAAAUAUUUGCA